rnacentral:rRNA from 1 species
UAUGUAGGUGUCUUGGUAAGUCGGAUGUGAAAUCCUUCAGCUUAACUGAAGAAUUGCGUUCGAAACUACCAGGAUUGAGUGCAUGAGAGGAGAGGGGAAUUCUCGGUGUAAGGGUGAAAUCUGUAGAUAUCGAGAAGAACACCGGUGGCGAAGGCGCCUCUCUGGCGUGCAACUGACACUGAAAUACGAAAGCGUGGGUAGCAAACAGGAUUAGAUACCCUGGUAGUCC